UUCAGAGGUUCCAAGCGUUGUUCGGAUUCACUGGGCGUAAAGGGUGCGUAGGUGGUGAGGUAAGUCGGAUGUGAAAGCUCGGAGCUCAACUCCGAAAUGGCAUUGGAAACUACCUUGCUCGAGGGUUGGAGGGGGGACUGGAAUGCUUGGUGUAGCAGUGAAAUGCGUAGAUAUCAAGCGGAACACCAGUGGCGAAGGCGAGUCCCUGGACAACUCCUGACACUGAGGCACGAAAGCUAGGGGAGCAAACAGG
rnacentral:rRNA from 1 species